rnacentral:rRNA from 1 species
UACAGAGACUGCGAGCGUUAUUCGGAUUCACUGGGCGUAAAGGGUGCGCAGGUGGCUAGGUGUGUUAGGCGUGAAAGCCCGGGGCUUAACCCCGGAAUUGCACCUAAAACUACUUGGCUAGAGCAUUGGAGAGGGGAGCAGAAUUCAUGGUGUAGCAGUGAAAUGCGUAGAUAUCAUGAGGAAUACCAGAGGCGAAGGCGGCUCCCUGGACAAUUGCUGACACUCAGGCACGAAAGCGUGGGGAGCAAACAGG